CUUUCUGAACACCAUGCUUCUAUAGGGCUCUGCAUGACCCAGGCCACACAGACACCUAUUGUGUUGGUGCAGUAGCCUCCAAAAUGGCUGCCGUGCCAAGAGGGAGAGACCAGAGAGUGGCCGAAGAACAUAAGGGAGGCUGGCGGGGGGAGGGGGAGCCUUCGUGGACUCCCCACUGCCUCAGACAACUCCCCUGGAGGGGGCAGCGAAGUUUCACUUUUAAAGGAAGCUGCUUCAGAUUUUGUCAGAUCUUCCAUCAGAUGCAAAUCAGUUGAACUACCAACGUGUUCAUGUUGACCACUGACAGGACCUUCAACAUCUAAGUGAUUAUCUACCUACCUAUCGUUGAGUUAGUUGACUCAAAAGACUGAAGAAGGGACAGCACAUAAACACCAAAAGCAUUGUGAAAGCCACUGACAAGCAGAGAAAGGACUACAGCUGCCAGAACAACAACCCACCCCCAGGCUCCAUCUGGAGGGGGAUGUAAAAAAGAAAUAUCAUCUGUGAUCAGAGAUAUGGUAUUCCUUCUCUGAAAUCUGCGUCUAGCCUUCCGCAGCAUAGUACGGAUUUUGCGCAAGUUACACAUUACACGGAAUGGAGACCUGUGAAAAAAAUGAAUGAUGGUUAGCCUCUAAUGGUAUUAAGGGUUUGGCGUACCUGUCUUACAACCAAAAACUCCCCUUAUUGUUGAGGCACAAACCAUGGCACUACAGAAAAACCUGAAUUGGCUAUUUACAGAUGUGCUGAGAAUGUAACACAGACAGUUCACAGGAACAUAAAAUGUGUUUUCUUACAACAUAAUUAAUGUUAAAAUAAAGUGCAAAUAACUAUUAA